rnacentral:lncRNA from 1 species
GGCUCUUGGUCUCUUAGACAUCUUCUCAAGAUUAUGCUAAGAGAAAUGACUGCACCCUUUUCCUGAGCUAUGGCAGUCAGACCUGGCAGUGGUAACUACUCUACAGAACUCCCAAACCUGGCAAGGAUGGUGCAGAUUUUGGCAGAUUAUGGCUUUGUCCCCACCCAGCACUGAUGAUAUUAUAAAACCUAUACUACAAGAAAUGAUAAUGGAAGUUCUUCAACUGAGCAAGAAAUGAUAUUAACAGAAAACUUGGAUCUUCAGAAGCAAAUGAAGAACAUCAGAAAUGUAGCAACAGCUGCUGAGAAGAGAUGACUAAAAGCUGAAAAGUGAAGAAUUAACACUGAUUUCUUGGCAGAAGCAGAAGCUUCAGGACUCCUGAAUUGAGGGAAUGAUCUAAAUUCCAAGGAUUAUCUCUCAGUGAGAACAAGCAACUUUCAUUGUUAGAGAGAGGAGAGAGAGAGAAGCCUUGUUGGUUGACGUCACUUGGUUCAUGAAGCCUUCGCCUAGAAGUGAAGCUGCUGAACAAACCUUGAGAAGAAUCAUCUCCUGCUUCAAUCUGCUGCUGGAUAGGAACUAAUCAGAGAGAGAGAGGCGGAAGACGGAGAAGGAGGGAGUCGAAGGCUUUCCCGAUCACAAAUCUCACCUCCACUACAACUCUCUUUAUACUUUUCUUGCAGAAAUAAUAAUAGAAAUAAGGAGGUGGUGGGGUUUCCAAAAAUCUUAACCUUCAACCAUCUGGGGAAAAGGCAAAAAUCCCAUCUACCGCAACUCUCAGUUCGAGAGUAAAGUUCCUUCGGAUGAAUGCAGAAGACAAGCAGACUGCUGGACUGCCAGUAACGGGCAUAUCCAUAAGGACAAAAAGGAGGGCCAGGCGUGGUGGCUCAUGCCUGUAAUCCCAGCACUUUGGGAGGCCGAGACAGGCAGAUCACUUGAGGCCAGGAGUUUGAGA